GACGAACGCUGGCGGCGUGCUUAACACAUGCAAGUCGAACGGAAAGGCCCUGCUUUUGUGGGGUGCUCGAGUGGCGAACGGGUGAGUAACACGUGAGUAACCUGCCCUUGACUUUGGGAUAACUUCAGGAAACUGGGGCUAAUACCGGAUAGGAGCUCCUGCUGCAUGGUGGGGGUUGGAAAGUUUCGGCGGUUGGGGAUGGACUAGCGGCUUAUCAGCUUGUUGGUGGGGUCGUGGCUUACCAAGGCUUUGACGGGUAGCCGGCCUGAGAGGGUGACCGGCCACAUUGGGACUGAGAUACGGCCCAGACUCCUACGGGAGGCAGCAGUGGGGAAUAUUGCACAAUGGGCGGAAGCCUGAUGCAGCAACGCCGCGUGCGGGAUGACGGCCUUCGGGUUGUAGACCGCUUUCGCCUGUGACGAAGCGUGAGUGACGGUAAUGGGUAAAGAAGCACCGGCUAACUACGUG
rnacentral:rRNA from 1 species